rnacentral:tRNA from 1 species
GCCGGUGUAGCUCAGUGGUAGAGCAGCGCAUUCGUAAUGCGCAGGUCGUCGGUUCAAUCCCGACCACCGGCU